rnacentral:lncRNA from 1 species
AUUACAAGAAGGAAGACUAGAGUUGAUAUCUUGUGCCUCAGCCUCCCGAGCAGCUGGGAUUACAGGCGUGCGCCACCAUGCCUGGGCAAAGUGCAGUGAAGAAACACAUGUAAUGUCCCCACCAAAGGAAUCUGACAAGAAUCAGUCUCUUAAAGUGUACUACCCAUAUGUAAUUGAAAAGCUGCAUGCAAGAUACCAACUGAGGAUUAUAAUACCAGUGAGUAAGAACACAAGUCAACAAAAUAUUUCAAAACAAGAGAUGCUCAGUUGUGUUAAACAAAAACCAGGCACAGAAGAACUUUUUAAAAAAUGGAAAUGGAAACACUUUCUUGAAAAAGAAAAUUGUAUUUUU